rnacentral:lncRNA from 1 species
GGUAACACAAUUUUAGAGAUGAAUGCAGAAAAUAAAACUACACUAAACAAGGUUGUUCCCAAUGAUCGUCGACAAAGAAAAUACAAAGAGCACAGGGAGACUCAGAUUUUACUCAUUGUCUUUUUGGUAUUUCCAUAAUGCUUGAGAAAUUAAAACACUAACAUAGACAAACAUCAAUGACAAACAGGAGUCAACAAGACAUGAACACAUAUAACUAUUGACAUGCAAAAGAGAGAAGAAACAAGAUUGUAUGACAGGGAAGAAUAUAUAUCAUAACACAAACAUAUAUAUUUUCACAUGGACAUAGUUAAACGCAGGAGCUACAGUACAUACAUAACCACACAUACGGGCACAAGGUACUACACCAAGGUUCAGGUUACACGAGUGACAAUACAAAUAGCAAUUACACACACACACACACACAUGUACACGCACAAAAUUGUUCUAGUUCUUGCAAAUCAACAGAAUACAUGCAGACAAGGACAAGUCCGAAUUUCACAAGAACCCACUCACAUCUAAUACAUAGAAAUUUCAGAGAGGGAAAGAGAACAGUAGCAAGUGUUGAAGAAGGAGAAAGUGAUUCAGAAGAAGCAGGGAAGCAGCGAGGUAGGCGAAGAAGAAGCAGCAGCAGAGGUACAGAGAGAAGGAGCAGCAAGAGAAGUUGGGGAGCGGCAGCAGGAAGUGAAGGGGAAGGAGCAGCAGGGGGACGUUGGGAGGAGGAGAGGUUCAGAGAAGAGCUUCGGCAAGGAAGAGCAGCAGGGGGCGCAGGAGAUGAAGAGCAGCAACAGCUUUAGGGGAAGCAGAGUAGGAGAAGCAGAGAGAGGAGCAGCAGCAGGGGCGUGGGAGAAGCAACGAGGCAGGGGAAUGAGCAGCAGCAGUCGGGCACAAGCAGAGGAGAGGACUUGCGCGGGGCACUAGACAACCACGACCUCUAGUCUGGUAGGGCGCGUGAGGUUGUGGUGGCUGGAUGUGAUGGCGCUGGUGGAUGGAUGGGUUGCGGUAGCGCGGAUGGAGAUGAUGCGGCGUAGUGGAGUAGGUGGAGGUGCUGGGUGGUGCGCCGCCACGCCGGCCUGGCCGCGGCGGCGGCCGGAGGUGGAAGAAGGAGGCGUGGGAAAGAGGGGAUGGAGAUGCCAGGCACGAUCGGAUCCCUCCAGCGCCUAGGGAUUUUGUUCCCCUCCUCUGGUCUGCACUUUGUGAUUUGGCCCUCUUUCUUCUCUUCUUUCUUCACAAGAAGGUCCUCCCACUUGUUUAUCUAGCCCCCUGGUUACUUGUCUUCAUCUCACACAAGUCUCUUCUUCCUUCUCUUCUCUUCUUCCUUCUCUUCUCUUCUUCACUCUUCUCGAUAGCCACAUAGACGGAAUCUUGACGAUUAUAGUGCCUUAGCGCACUUUUCUGCAAAAGAAGCAAGCCACAAGUAAAUGAUCCCUUUAUAUGAUUUUCAUUCAAAUAUGCAUUAAUUUAUAGCACGAAAUGAAUGAAUAUAUCUCAAUGAACCGUAUAUUUGAGGGACAAAAGAUGUAUACGAAAUAUGCUUAUCAAGUUCCCCCACACUUAAAUCUUUGCUUGUCCUCAAGCAAAGGAAAAAAAUUGAUGGUGACACAACUCACACUGCCUAGUAAAGUUGCACUUUCCGAUAGAUAGUAAUUCCGACAAUACUGGAACUAAGCAAAUGUACUCUACUGAAGCUAAAUUGUGAUAAGAAAUAUUUUAUAACACACUGUAAAUGUUCCAAGUCAAUGGCCUUGAGUCAAAGUGCAUCCUAAUAAUCAAGAGCUGGCUCUGUCUUCAGCCCUGAGCUAAGCUGGGACCCCAAAAUCAAAUAGAAAAACAAGUUACUUAUUGAAUUUAAAGCACAAAUGAUGAAAUUCUAUCAGUCUCACCAAAGGAACAUACCACCGAUCCCGAGAACAUGGUAUACACCUGGCUCGACCAAAUUAUUAGUAUAUUUUUUUUAUUAUCUCCCCAAAGGAACAUACCACCGAUCCCGAGAACAUGGUAUACACCUGGUUCGACAAAUUAUUAGUAUAUGUUUUUUUUAUUAUCUCCCCAAAGGAACAUACCACCGAUCCCGAGAACAUGGUAUACACCUGGUUCGACAAAUUAUAGCACUUUUUAUAUAAAAAAAAAAUUUACAGUCCAAUCUACCAGAUUUCACAAGCCACCGAUCCAGGGAACAUGACAUGCUACUGUAGGUCGAUCGGACUUAAAUUAUUAUAAUUAUUUUAUUUAGUUAUUUGAAAAUUACUUAGCUUAAGUAAAACAGGUAUAAUUGAAAGAGGAAUCCAUGGCUAAUGGCACUGUUUUUCACAGACUACAGAUCCAGAGAUCAUAGCUACUACUUAAGUGCCACCAGUUACUUAGCUUAACUUGGGACAGUCAGACACAUCACAUCAAUUCAUUAGAAGGUUUCACUUAGACUCAAGGCGUUCCCAUUGAACAUUUACAUGGAGGUAUAAAGUAUUCAUUAUCACAAAUUACCAUAAGAAGAAUACAACUGCAUAGUUUUAGUAUUAAGAGAAUCAACAAUCUUCUUGGAGUGAAUCCUACUUUGCAGUGAAAAGUAAGGUGUCACCAUGCAAAAAGAGUUUCAAUGCAAUUAAAUGCCAGUUCUCAUACUAAAUUUUCUAAAGGUUGCUUCAAGUGGAACAGAAUCACCUGGUAUUUGUAUACUCUUCUCUCCUACUUUCUUCUCUCCACUCUUCUCUGUUUGUGUUCCCUGUUUGUGCUCCCCUCAUCGCCAUGCUCUGACUCCACCAGGAUCCCAAGGAAUGUCACCUCGAACCUGGUCAGCAUGUAAUAAACAGUGCAGUAGCAAAAGCCUGAAAUAGGACUCACACAAACAACUACAAGUGAUACGGUCGAUGCCCUCCAAGUCAUCAAUGGAAUAUCCAAUUAUAUAAGCAUAACUAUAAAGCACAUGUUUAGGAUGGCAGAAAUCAGCAUGGUCAAUACUCACACGAGGAUGACAUUUAUCAUUAAGCUCAAGACUAGCAUGAGGAAAGUAAUUGUGAUCAUCACAAAUGAGAGCAAUGCCACUAACAGGGUAUAUAUCAUCAUAUCCAAGCAAAUGAGUUUUAAAAUCAAUCUUAAGUGAUGGUAUCAUGUAAUGCAAGGUGGUAGCAAAGAAAUCACAAGGCAUCAUGUCAUCAAGAGGAUUGAGUAAACCUGACACAUCACGCUCUGGUAUGAAUAUAGGCAAAUGAAUCUCAUGUUCUUCAUCUUCAUCUACAGCAGCUUCUUGUACUUCUUCAGGAGUAAUAGAUGAUGAGUCUUCAACUUGAUCACUUGGGAAUUGCAGCUCUUGACCAUCUUGUUCCUUGUCUUCUAGUUCAUCUUCUUCAAUCUGAGGUAUCUCUUGCUCAAGGCACUUGCUAUCUUGCUCAACGAAAUGUGAAGGUGUUGGAACCUCACAUGUAUCCAUGGAUAUCUCAGCCACACUCAACUCAAGUUGUGAAGAAAUAGUGCUGCCAGCGUUGAUGUUCUUCUCAAUCUUCCUUACUUCUUCCACUAGCUCUUUUCCACUCUUGAUCUUCUUCAUUUCAUCUAGUAUAACCUUCCUAAUAGGAUCAUCCUCAGCACUCCAAGUGAACUCGAGACUAAGCAAUGUGAGCUUCUCUAUAUCAUCAAAUUCAUCUUGUGUGGGCACUUGCACAUGAGAUUGCUCGAAAGGUGCUGGAGUUGUUGGUUGACCAAAUGGAGGACCAUUUAACUCCAUUGGACACAUCUACUGGUAUUGAGGUAUAUGAGUAGGAGGUGAAUAAAUCUGUUGUGGAGCAUAGUUGUGGUUCUCCUCAUUGUACCUAAAUCCCUGCAUUGGAUAACUAGAGGCAAACGAUGAGAUCUCAGGGUUAUUGCUCCUAUAUGACAUAUUCUGGUUUUCAGGCCACCCAUGUGUGUAAUUGUUUUGGUAUGAGCUAGGCUGUGGGGCGAAGCUCAUGCCAUAACAAUCAGGAGGGUGAGAGUAACCACGCUGACAUUCAGCGGGUGAAUGGCCCUGAAAUCCACAAAUAUGGCAUGUAGGAGCAACAUAAGGAUGACCUCUAGAAUAAGGAUCAUAAGAGCUAGGCCUAUCCUCAAAAACUACCUCUCGCUGCCGAGCUAAAUCAUCUAAUUGAUGGGAAAUCUUAUUUAUCAGUUCUUGAAUACUUUCCGUGUUGUUUGUAGUGUUGCUCGCAUAAGCAUGAUGAUAUGAAUAGAAUGCCAUUUCCGAGAGGAUAAUCCAACCUGCAAAAAGGAAAAGAAGACAAAAAGAUACUAACUAGAACAGGGGUUAGUGGCUAGAGAUAUAUCACAAAUAUAUAAAGCACAAAAAGGAAACAAGCUAAACCUAGUCUAAAGCCUAGCACAAUCGCUCGAGGCUAGUCCCCGGCAACGGCGCCAAAUUGAUCGUAUGUAAUAUAGCAGGGUUUUUUACGCCCCAAACUACGGAUGUCGUGUUCUCCACAGGGACUAGGCGACGAUGACUAUGCUCGGCUAAAGCUAGGUAACACAAUUUUAGAGAUGAAUGCAGAAAAUAAAACUACACUAAACAAGGUUGUUCCCAAUGAUCGUCGACAAAGAAAAUACAAAGAGCACAGGGAGACUCAGAUUUUACUCAUUGUCUUUUUGGUAUUUCCAUAAUGCUUGAGAAAUUAAAACACUAACACAGACAAACAUCAAUGACAAACAGGAGUCAACAAGACAUGAACACAUAUAACUAUUGACAUGCAAAAGAGAGAAGAAACAAGAUUGUAUGACAGGGACAAAUAUAUAUCAUAACACAAACAUAUAUAUUUUCACAUGGACAUAGUUAAAUGUAGGAGGUACAGUACAUACAUAACCACACAUACGGGCACAAGGUACUACACCAAGGUUCAGGUUACACGAGUGACAAUACAAACAGAAAUUACACACACACACACACACACACACACACACACACACACACACAUGUACACGCACAAAAUUGUUCUAGUUCUUGCAAAUCAACAGAAUACAUCCAGACAAGGACAGGUCCGAAUUUCACAGGAACCCACUCACAUCUAAUACAUAGAAAUUUCAGAGAGGGGGAGAGAACAGUAGCAAGUGUUGAAGAAGGAGAAAGUGAUUCAGAAGAAGCAGGGAAGCAGCGAGGUAGGCGAAGAAGAAGCAGCAGCAGAGGUACAGAGAGAAGGAGCAACAAGAGAAGUUGGGGAGCGGCAGCAGGAAGUGAAGGGGAAGGAGCAGCAGGGGGACGUUGGGAGGAGGAGAGGUUCAGAGAAGAGCUUCGGCAAGGAAGAGCAGCAGGGGGCGCAGGAGAUGAAGAGCAGCAACAGCUUUAGGGGAAGCAGAGUAGGAGAAGCAGAGAGAGGAGCAGCAGCAGGGGCGUGGGAGAAGAAACGAGGCAGGGGAAUGAGCAGCAGCAGUCGGGCACAAGCAGAGGAGAGGACUUGCGCGGGGCACUAGACAACCACGACCUCUAGUCUGGUAGGGCGCGUGAGGUUGUGGUGGCUGGAUGUGAUGGCGCUGGUGGAUGGAUGGGUUGCGGUAGCGCGGAUGGAGAUGAUGCGGCGUAGUGGAGUAGGUGGAGGUGCUGGGUGGUGCGCCGCCACGCCGGCCUGGCCGCGGCGGCGGCCGGAGGUGGAAGAAGGAGGCGUGGGAAAGAGGGGAUGGAGAUGCCAGGCACGAUCGGAUCCCUCCAGCGCCUAGGGAUUUUGUUCCCCUCCUCUGGUCUGCACUUUGUGAUUUGGCCCUCUUUCUUCUCUUCUUUCUUCACAAGAAGGUCCUCCCACUUCUUUAUCUAGCCCCCUGGUUACUUGUCUUCAUAUCACACAAGUCUCUUCUUCCUUCUCUUCUCUUCUUCCUUCUCUUCUCUUCUUCACUCUUCUCGAUAGCCACAUAGACGAAAUAUUGACGAUUAUAGUGCCUUAGCGCACUUUUCUGCAAAAGAAGCAAGCCACAAGUAAAUGAUCCCUUUAUAUGAUUUUCAUUCAAAUAUGCAUUAAUUUAUAGCACGAAAUGAAUGAAUA